GUGAAGCCACUGCAAAGUCAGCUCAGUUUCGGGGCAUGUUCUUGAAUCUUCUAGAAGUAAAUGGGGCUUGCCAGAAUCUUCUAAAGAACGGUGCCCUAGCGACUUUGCGGGCCACUUGUAACUGAACCUUAUUCUCUCAUGUUUUCAUCCCACUUCAUUGACCAUUAUGCCAUACCCUCGAGUUAGAAUGUCGAUUUUGAUUUUGAUUUUUUUGGUUUGGAGGGGGGGAGGGGGUGGAAGGUAUGCAACUUAAUCGAACUAAUUCUACUUUAAUCCCUGGAUUCAUGAAAUAUUUAUGAGUCCUAUCGGUGUUGUAUGAUGCCAUCUAAGCGCAAAAAACAUGAUUGUCACAAUCUCCCUGAGAAUGUUAUCAAUGGCAUUCUAAUGUGUUUGCCUUUGCGUGAUGCUGUGAGGACAAGCAUCUUAUCGAAGAAAUGGAGGUAUAAGUGGUGCAGACUUCCACAAUUGACGCUUGAUGAUAAAAUUUGGAAGACGACAAAUAAUUUGCUAUCCCUUCUAUUAAGUUUACAAACACUAUGUACAACAUUUUGACCGGUUACUAAGUUUACCCUU